rnacentral:rRNA from 1 species
UACGGAGGGUGCAAGCGUUAUCCGGAUUCACUGGGUUUAAAGGGUGCGUAGGUGGGCUAGUAAGUCCGUGGUGAAAUCUCCAAGCUUAACUUGGAAACUGCCGUGGAUACUAUUAGUCUUGAAUAUUGUGGAGGUAAGCGGAAUAUGUCAUGUAGCGGUGAAAUGCUUAGAUAUGACAUGGAACACCGAUAGCGAAGGCAGCUUGCUACACAAUCAUUGACACUGAGGCACGAAAGCGUGGGGAUCAAACAGG